rnacentral:rRNA from 1 species
AGUGAACGCUGGCGGUAGGCCUAACACAUGCGAGUCGAACGGCAGCACAGUAAGCGCUUGCUCUUACGGGUGGCGAGUGGCGGACGGGUGAGGAAUACAUCAGAAUCUACUUUUUCGUGGGGGAUAACGUAGGGACACUUACGCUAAUACCGCAUACGACCUACGGGUGAAAGCAGGGGUUCUUCGGACCUUGCGCGAUUGAAUGAGCCGAUGUCGGAUUAGCUAGUUGGCGGGGUAAAGGCCCACCAAGGCGACGAUCCGUAGCUGGUCUGAGAGGAUGAUCAGCCACACUGGAACUGAGACACGGUCCAGACUCCUACGGGAGGCAGCAGUGGGGAAUAUUGGACAAUGGGCGCAAGCCUGAUCCAGCCAUACCGCGUGGGUGAAGAAGGCCUUCGGGUUGUAAAGCCCUUUUGUUGGGAAAGAAAAGCAGCAGGUUAAUACCCCGCUGUUCUGACGGUACCCAAAGAAUAAGCACCGGCUAACUUCGUG